AACAAAAUCAUUUGUAAAGUAUCUAUAGAUAUGCAUGAUCAAAUAAAUUGAGAAUAGCAUCAAUGGCAUGAAAACAGAAAUGAGACCACACAUUAUGGGCCAAGAGACGUGAAAGGAUCAGAUUCGGUAUCCCAUUAUUGUGUCAUGAGAGUAGCCACAACGGGGGCCCCAGCGAGGAAGGGGUUAAUCUUACAUUCUAAGGGGACUGCCUCCUGCUUGAGCAGAUCUUCCUGGAAGUCGCGUGGUGAUGGGUAAGGGGGCGGGGCAAGAGUCGCCUUGGCAACACAAUCCACAGCGGCCCCCAGAGUGUGAAGUCACCAGCUUAAUAUUAGAUCCUUACUCCAGUCUGACUCACGCCAGCGCACGCACAGAAUCCUAAUGAGCCAAGUAGGCAGCAGGGCUAGAGCACAGCAUCUCACCUGCUCGCGAAAAACUUUUAGAGCUUGCCUCUGCCCUUCCAUGACAGGACCAGAACAAGAAACAGAUCACCAGGGAACUGGACGGCUGAAGCUAGCUGUUGCAGGGCAACGACAGCACGGGGCAGGCAGGCACCCCUACCUUGGAGACAUUUGCGAAGUCCGGAUCUUUGCACGGCCGCUCGGAUUUUCCUGGCUGUGCAGCCGUACGCUGGGAGGCAAGAAUUCAGCCAAGUAGCUUGCUGGAUCUGUGUGACCUGCCACUCGACGUAGAAUGACUGCAUCACUGACAGCCAAUCCAGGAGCGCAAGCUGCCUUGCCAAUCGGGAAGGAGAGGGAGACGCCGGGCAGCCAAUCACAGGCUGCCUGCCCUCCCUCACCAGAGCAGCGGGGGAAUGAGUCAUCCAUCGAUGUGAGUGAGAUGCUCGGCCUGCCGACAAAGCUGUCAAACGAACACUCGCCUCUUCCCGAAAUCCAUAAAAAAUAUCUCUAAAACCAAUCACCCCUUCAGCGUUCAUGGAAGGUCAGCCCCUUUGCCUGCAAU
rnacentral:lncRNA from 1 species